GGUUUUCGGAUCGUAAAGCUCUGUUGUUAGGGAAGAACAAGUACCGUUCGAAUAGGGCGGUACCUUGACGGUACCUAACCAGAAAGCCACGGCUAACUACGUGCCAGCAGCCGCGGUAAUACGUAGGUGGCAAGCGUUGUCCGGAAUUAUUGGGCGUAAAGGGCUCGCAGGCGGUUUCUUAAGUCUGAUGUGAAAGCCCCCGGCUCAACCGGGGAGGGUCAUUGGAAACUGGGGAACUUGAGUGCAGAAGAGGAGAGUGGAAUUCCACGUGUAGCGGUGAAAUGCGUAGAGAUGUGGAGGAACACCAGUGGCGAAGGCGACUCUCUGGUCUGUAACUGACGCUGAGGAGCGAAAGCGUGGGGAGCGAACAGGAUUAGAUACCCUGGUAGUCCACGCCGUAUACGAUGAGUGCUAAGUGUUAGGGGGUUUCCGCCCCUUAUUGCUGCAGCUGAGGCAUUAAGCACUCCGCCGUGGGGAG
rnacentral:rRNA from 1 species